GACGGACGCUGGCGGCGUGCCUAAUACAUGCAAGUAGAACGCACAGUUUAUACCGUAGCUUGCUACACCAUAAACUGUGAGUUGCGAACGGGUGAGUAACGCGUAGGUAACCUGCCUGGUAGCGGGGGAUAACUAUUGGAAACGAUAGCUAAUACCGCAUAAUAUUGAUUAUUGCAUGAUAAUUGAUUGAAAGAUGCUAUUGCAUCACUACCAGAUGGACCUGCGUUGUAUUAGCUAGUAGGUGAGGUAACGGCUCACCUAGGCGACGAUACAUAGCCGACCUGAGAGGGUGAUCGGCCACACUGGGACUGAGACACGGCCCAGACUCCUACGGGAGGCAGCAGUAGGGAAUCUUCGGCAAUGGACGAAAGUCUGACCGAGCAACGCCGCGUGAGUGAAGAAGGUUUUCGGAUCGUAAAGCUCUGUUGUAAGAGAAGAACGGGUGUGAGAGUGGAAAGUUCACACUGUGACGGUAUCUCACCAGAAAGGGACGGCUAACUACAUG
rnacentral:rRNA from 1 species